rnacentral:rRNA from 1 species
CUGAACCAGCCAAGUACCGUGAAGGAUGACUGCCCUAUGGGUUGUAAACUUCUUUUAUAAAGGAAUAAAGUCGGCUAUGUAUACCCGUUUGCAUGUACUUUAUGAAUAAGGAUCGGCUAACUCCGUGCCAGCAGCCGCGGUAAUACGGAGGAUCCGAGCGUUAUCCGGAUUUAUUGGGUUUAAAGGGACCGUAGAUGGAUGUUUAAGUCACUUGUGAAAGUUCGCGG